AGGAUUAACGCUGGCGGCGUGCCUAACACAUGCAAGUCGAACGAGGUAGCAAUACCUAGUGGCAGACGGGUGAGUAACGCGUGGUCAACCUACCGUUGAGUGGGGGAUAACUAGCCGAAAGGUUAGCUAAUACCGCAUACGUCUCCGAGGGGCAUCCCUUGGUGAUAAAAGGAGCAAUCCGCUCGAUGACGGGACCGCGUCCCAUUAGCUAGUUGGUGGGGUAACGGCCUACCAAGGCGAUGAUCGAUAGCUGGUCUGAGAGGAUGAUCAGCCACAUUGGGACUGAGACACGGCCCAAACUCCUACGGGAGGCAGCAGUGGGGAAUAUUGGACAAUGGGCGCAAGCCUGAUCCAGCCAUGCCGCGUGAGUGAUGACGGCCUUAGGGUUGUAAAGCUCUUUCGCUCGGGACGAUAAUGACGGUACCGAGAUAAGAGCCCGGCUAACUUCGUGCCAGUACGCCGC
rnacentral:rRNA from 1 species